rnacentral:tRNA from 1 species
GGGGUGGUAUAUCAGUCCGGUAGAUAGUUCCCUUGGCAUGGGAGUUUUAGCAAAAACUAAAACCAACAAGCCGCGGGUUCAAAUCCCGCCCACUCCA